rnacentral:rRNA from 1 species
UACGUAGGUGGCGAGCGCUGUCCGGAUUUACUGGGCGUAAAGAGCGCGCAGGCGGUCGUACAAGUCGCGUGUGAAAGCCCCCGGCUCAACUGGGGAGGGUCACGCGAUACUGUUCGACUCGAAGGCAGGAGAGGGUAGUGGAAUUCCCGGUGUAGUGGUGAAAUGCGUAGAUAUCGGGAGGAACACCAGUGGCGAAGGCGACUACCUGGCCUGUUCUUGACGCUGAGGCGCGAAAGCUAGGGUAGCAAACGGG